ACUGAUGUUGGUGAUUACAACGUAAAAUUACGUGCCAUUAUCAAGUUCCUUGAAGAAGGCAACAAGGUAAAAAUCACUUUACGUUUCCGUGGUCGUGAAAUGGCUCACCAGCAGCUUGGUCUGGCUCAAUUGCAAAAAGUUGAAGCAGAUGUGGCUGAAGUCGGUGUAGUUGAACAAGCGCCAAAAAUGGAAGGUCGUCAAAUGGGUAUGCUGCUUGGUCCUAAAAAGAAAAAGUAAGCCUCUCUUGACGAAGAAAGCCCUGCAAAAGCAGGGCUUUUUUAUGGCUAUGACUUUUGAAUUGGCUUUUUAACAGUAUUCAAAAGAGCCGUCAUUGACCUGU
rnacentral:misc_RNA from 1 species